rnacentral:rRNA from 1 species
CGGUAAUACGGAGGAUGCAAGCGUUAUCCGGAWUUAUUGGGCGUAAAGCGUCCGCAGGUGGUUUUUCAAGUCUGCUGUUAAAGCGCAGAGCUUAACUCUGUAACGGCRGUGGAAACUGAGAGACUAGAGUAUGGUAGGGGUUGCGGGAAUUCCCAGUGUAGCGGUGAAAUGCGUAGAUAUUGGGAAGAACACCAGCGGCGAAA